rnacentral:rRNA from 1 species
AGAGUUUGAUCCUGGCUCAGAGCGAACGCUGGCGGCAGGCUUAACACAUGCAAGUCGAACGCUCACCUUCGGGUGGGAGUGGCAGACGGGUGAGUAACACGUGGGAACGUACCCUUCGGUUCGGGACAACUCUGGGAAACUGGAGCUAAUACCGGAUACGCCCUUUUGGGGAAAGGUUUACUGCCGAAGGAUCGGCCCGCGUCUGAUUAGCUAGUUGGUGGGGUAACGGCCUACCAAGGCGACGAUCAGUAGCUGGUCUGAGAGGAUGAUCAGCCACACUGGGACUGAGACACGGCCCAGACUCCUACGGGAGGCAGCAGUGGGGAAUAUUGGACAAUGGGCGCAAGCCUGAUCCAGCCAUGCCGCGUGAGUGAUGAAGGCCUUAGGGUUGUAAAGCUCUUUUAUCCGGGACGAUAAUGACGGUACCGGAGGAAUAAGCCCCGGCUAACUUCGUGCCAGCAGCCGCGG